GAUGAACGCUGGCGGCGUGCCUAAUACAUGCAAGUCGAGCGAACGGACGAGAAGCUUGCUUCUCUGAUGUUAGCGGCGGACGGGUGAGUAACACGUGGAUAACCUACCUAUAAGACUGGGAUAACUUCGGGAAACCGGAGCUAAUACCGGAUGAUAUUUUGAGCCGCAUGGUUCAAAAGUGAAAGACGGUCUUGCUGUCACUUAUAGAUGGAUCCGCGCUGCAUUAGCUAGUUGGUAAGGUAACGGCUUACCAAGGCAACGAUGCAUAGCCGACCUGAGAGGGUGAUCGGCCACACUGGAACUGAGACACGGUCCAGACUCCUACGGGAGGCAGCAGUAGGGAAUCUUCCGCAAUGGGCGAAAGCCUGACGGAGCAACGCCGCGUGAGUGAUGAAGGUCUUCGGAUCGUAAAACUCUGUUAUUAGGGAAGAACAUAUGUGUAAGUAACUGUGCACAUCCUGACGGUACCUAAUCAGAAAGCCACGGCUAACUACGUG
rnacentral:rRNA from 1 species